rnacentral:rRNA from 1 species
CUCCUACGGGAGGCAGCAGUGGGGAAUAUUGCACAAUGGGCGAAAGCCUGAUGCAGCAACGCCGCGUGAAGGAAGAAGGGUUUCGGCUCGUAAACUUCUAUCAACAGGGACGAAAGAAAUGACGGUACCUGAAUAAGAAGCCCCGGCUAACUACGUGCCAGCAGCCGCGGUAAUACGUAGGGGGCAAGCGUUAUCCGGAUUUACUGGGUGUAAAGGGAGCGUAGGGGGCAGGGCAAGUCAGAUGUGAAAACUCGGGGCUCAACUCCGGGAGUGCAUUUGAAACUGUCCAGCUAGAGUGCAG